rnacentral:rRNA from 1 species
GAUCCUGGCUCAGAUUGAACGCUGGCGGCAGGCUUAACACAUGCAAGUCGAACGGUAACAUAAAGAAGCUUGCUUCUUUGAUGACGAGUGGCGGACGGGUGAGUAAUGCUUGGGAAUCUAGCUUAUGGAGGGGGAUAACUACGGGAAACUGUAGCUAAUACCGCGUAAUAUCGAAAGAUUAAAGUGUGGGACCUUCGGGCCGCAUGCCAUAAGAUGAGCCCAAGUGGGAUUAGGUAGUUGGUGAAGGG